rnacentral:rRNA from 1 species
UUAAAUUGAAGAGUUUGAUCAUGGCUCAGAUUGAACGCUGGCGGCAGGCCUAACACAUGCAAGUCGAACGGUAACAGGAAGCAGCUUGCUGCUUUGCUGACGAGUGGCGGACGGGUGAGUAAUGUCUGGGAAACUGCCCGAUGGAGGGGGAUAACCACUGGAAACGGUAGCUA